rnacentral:lncRNA from 1 species
AUGACACCACAACUUCACAUACGUCGCCAUCUCUUUACUUUCCUAUAGUUAUCUUCUAGACUGUGUCUUCUCCUUAUCUCCAGUUUUCAUUCUGUAUUUUUUUUCUUUUUAGUAAGAGGAAAUAACUCUACAUUCAAAUUUGAGCAGGGCACUUGGUGACCUACUUAGACAUGACAUUCCUUGGCCUCCCUUUCAGCAAGAUGAGAAAACUGAGGCACAGAGAGGUGAAAUAAGGCCCCCAGAAUGCUCUUCUCCAAGACUUAGAAAAAUCAAAUGCUAUCCAUCCCUCAAGAUACAUCCCUCCAGCCCCUCCUUGAAGUCUCCUGCAGCUAGAAGUAGAAGUAGCAUCUAUCCCCAUCUGGACUCCUUAGCACUUUGCUGUACCUGCCUUAGUCCCCAUCUCUUUACACACACACACACACACACACACACACACACAGAGUAUUAUAAUACUAUUACCUAUUAUAUUACAUUAUAUUAUUGUAGUUCUACAGGAACUACAAGGAAUUCUACUGUGAAUUCCUUAAGGGUGGGAUACAUUUUACAAUCAUCACUGUUUCUCUCAUUAGUUGUGGAAUCAAAAAAAUGAGUGCACGAUGAAAAAUUAUUCAAACACAUACAUGCUUUCAUUCCAAUUGAAAAUGUAAAAAUAUUACUGUUAAAACAAUAUUAAAGGACAUGUAAUACAAUUCAAAUAUUCCUACCAUGCACGAUUGUUUUCACUUCUUUGUGCCUCUUUCACCAUUUAUUUGUGUGCAUACUCAGCAUAUUUGUUUGUGUAACAGGAUGUUAAAAAUAGAAUUUGUUGCCUGUAGUUUUUGCUAAAGCUCUACUAGACUGGAACAGAACAAUAGGUGGUAAAUACUCCAUUCCUCAGUGAGAUGCUACCUACCUAUGCAGAGCUGGAAAAGAUUUUGCAACCUGAAAACCCAAUCCUUUCUGAGAUAUAAAAGAACAGAAGAGUCUGGAAGUGAUUUCUUCGGAGAAAUUCAUUUUCUGUGAGUCUCACUCCUAAUCCCCUAUGAGAUAUCUGGGGGUGAAGGGCAGGUGCUGUUCCACACAGAGAGCUUGAUCCGUGCAUCUUGGAAGAGGGAGGUAGGUAGGGAACAGGGUGGGCUGCUUUGGGACCCAUGCCUUAAAACUCAGGUACUGGGGCUGGCUGGUUCUAAUGGCCAAGAGGUGAGAGGUGCACCUGUGGGGAACAACCUUCACUCUCAGUUUGUCAGGAUAGAGGAUAUGAGUCUUGCCCUGAGGAUGGGAUGUAGACUACAAGGGCAAGAGAGUCAGCUUAAAGAAAUCUGUAGAACUAUCUGCCAGGACUGAGGUGACCAUAGCAGAGAGAUGUUGGAGGUAUUCUGUUGGGAACAAGAUGGUGUGAGGUAAAGAUUGUAUUUGAUACCUGCUGGAGAAGAGAUCUUGCAUUAAGGCCAGCAUUAAGAGAACUUCAGAUGAGAAAUCCCUGGUGAAGCAGAGUCUCCAAAGAAUGCAUAAGAGCUCUGCAGUGAGAAAGAGAUCACCUGAAUACCUUCCAAAAUCAAAGCGUGGCAGUGACCAGCUAAGCAGAUCUUUCCUGUCUUCUACCUGGAAGGGCCUGAAACUGCAAUUCAUGAGUUUGGGGAAGGCAGAGAGGCACAAAGUGGGGAAAUGGAAAAGUUGACUAUGUCCGCUUUCCUACUGCAGUAUUCCAGAGAAGAAACUUCAAGCUCAGAAUAUUGGCUACUACCUGUGAUAAACAUUUAAAUUAUUGGAACGAGAGAGUUUUUAUAACUAAAUUUGAAAGAAGCAAUUUUUUUUAUCAAAGACCAACCCGAAGAUUCAUGACCACUACCUGUGAUUUCAUCCAUGUUGCAAGGAAAAUCCUGCCCCACUUCCCCAAUAGGAAGAGUGGUGGGGGAAUAAUAAAGUUGUUUUAUGAUGCAUCCUGUGGACUUCUACUCGACAGAAUGGUAACAUUCAACUGUAAUCAGGAUGAGCAAGCCACUUUAUUAAACUAAAAUUUUAAACUUUAAUAAAUAUAAUACAAACUGAAAAAUAAAAAUAAUUUUUCAACUCUACACAAGUAUGUUAACUGCAUAAACAGUGAGAUGUUACACAGGGCUGAGGCCUAUACUUCUUCAGUUUGUACAUUAAACGUCUCCAUGGAGGGUCAAUUGCAUCCUACCUAUUCUGACAGUUAUCAGGUAGCGAGAGAUUUGAGGAAGAGGCGCUUUUCUAAUCUGGGGUAGGAAAAGGAAUGAUACCAUGUAUCAUGAGAAGUAUUUGCACAUAGUGUGUCAAUUAAGCAAGUGCUCAGACUAUUAACAACAUUACUAUGUGAUGAAUGUUUAUACAGUGGAUUCAAAAAUAAGCUUCUUUCCAGAAAGCAGCUUAGUUUUCAUUAAUUAUUACCAGCAUCUUGGUAAUUAUUUAUUUAAUGGUUUAAAAGUUAAAGUUUCAAUCUAUAUUUGUUUUUUUAACAUCAGCCAAGGAAAUACAUGUCUGUUAUACUGCAUCUUUGGAAGUAUGCAAUAAGUGUAACUAUUGAAUCUAUAUUGAAGAGCCACAAGACACUGAAUUUAAUUGGACGAGACUAUUUUAUUUAGGAAGACAAUCAUCUCCUGUGAUCAGCUUAAGGUUUUUGUUUUGUUUUAUCUGGAACAAGCUAAGUUCAUAUUUAGAAAAUAAAGUUAGUUUUUUGGGUGCAUGAGUUUUAGAGUAAAUUAGUAAUUUAGUAAACUUUGACAUUUCCACUUUGUCUCCAAACACAUUUAAAUUCUAUCUGUCUGACUGAAGUUCUAAGGCAUUCUGUGGUUACUUAGAAAUGAUUCCUUAUAUUAAUGUUUACAAAUGCUAAAUUGUAUUUGUUAAAUACAUGUCUUAUUGCCUAAGAGUUUUCCUUUCUUAUAAGUUUAAUAUAAAUGUCUAGGAAAUAAGACUCCCAUUUAAUAGCUUAUAAAGAAUGCUGAUGUAUCAGCAGUGGCCUUGACAUUAUUGGAUACAAGUAAGAUCUACACUGAUGAUUAAAUCAAAUUGGCUAAGAUUAUUCGUUCUAAUAAAAGCACUGACUCCAUGAAGUUUUCUUGUGGCUGAAAUUAACAUUCGUGUUCCUACAAGCUCUUUAAAAUCUUAGUUACUGAAAAUUAUUCCUUUUGACCUAAUUUUUUCUUUACUUUGGAUGUAUUUGACAAGGU